CCUACGGGGGGCUGCAGUCGAGAAUCAUUCACAAUGGGGGAAACCCUGAUGGUGCGAAGCCGCGUGGGGGAAUGAAGGUCUUCGGAUUGUAAACCCCUGUCAUGUGGGAGCAAAUCAAAAAGAUAGUACCACAUGAGGAAGAGACGGCUAACUCUGUGCCAGCAGCCGCGGUAAUACAGAGGUCUCAAGCGUUGUUCGGAAUCACUGGGCGAAAAGCGUGCGUAGGCUGUUUCGUAAGUCGUGUGUGAAAGGCGCGGGCUCAACCCGCGGACGGCACAUGAUACUGCGAGACUAGAGUCAUGGAGGGGGAACCGGAAUUCUCGGUGUAGCAGUGAAAUACGUAGAUAUCGAGAGGAACACUAGUGGCGAAGGUGGGUUCCUGGACAUUAACUGACGCUGAGGCACGAAGGCCAGGGGAUCGAACAGGAUUAGAUACCCUGUAGUC
rnacentral:rRNA from 1 species